rnacentral:rRNA from 1 species
CCAGUAGCGUAUAUUAAAGUUGUUGCAGUUAAAAAGCUCGUAGUUGAAUUUCGGGGUUAGUAGGCUGGUCAUGCCACCGGUCUGUACUGGUCUUUCUGAUUCCUCCUUCCCGAUGAACUGUAAUUCCAUUACUUUGGUGCUGCAGGGAAUCUGGACUGUUACUUAGCACAAAUUAGAGUGUUUAAAGCCGGCUACCGCUUGACUACAUCAGCAUGGAAUAAUGAAAUAGGACGCUCGAUCCUAUUUUGUUGGUUUCUAGGAUUGACGUAAUGAUUAAUAGGGAUAGUUGGGGGCAUUAGUAUUCAAUUGUCAGAGGUGAAAUUCUUGGAUUUAUUGAAGACUAACUACUGCGAAAGCAUUUGCCAAGGAUGUUUUCAUUAAUCAAGAACGAAAGUUAGGGGAUCGAAGACGAUCAGAUACCGUCGUAGUCUUAACCAUAAACUAUGCCGACUAGGGAUCGGAUGAUGUUAAUUUUUUAAUGACUCAUUCGGCGCCUUACG